rnacentral:rRNA from 1 species
AUAGGACGUCCCCUUCGGGGGCAGAGUGACAGGUGGUGCAUGGUUGUCGUCAGCUCGUGUCGUGAGAUGUUGGGUUAAGUCCCGCAACGAGCGCAACCCUUGAUCUUAGUUGCCAGCAUUCAGUUGGGCACUCUAAGGUGACUGCCGGUGACAAACCGGAGGAAGGUGGGGAUGACGUCAAAUCAUCAUGCCCCUUAUGACCUGGGCUACACACGUGCUACAAUGGACAGAACAAAGGGCAGCGAAACCGCGAGGUUAAGCCAAUCCCACAAAUCUGUUCUCAGUUCGGAUCGCAGUCUGCAACUCGACUGCGUGAAGCUGGAAUCGCUAGUAAUCGCGGAUCAGCAUGCCGCGGUGAAUACGUUCC